CAUGAAGCUGGAAUCGCUAGUAAUCGCGGAUCAGAAUGCCGCGGUGAAUACGUUCCCGGGUCUUGUACACACCGCCCGUCACACCAUGGGAGUCGGAAAUGCCCGAAGCCGGUGACUCAACCUUUAAGGAGAGAGCCGUCGAAGGCAGGUCUGAUAACUGGGGCGAAGUCGUAACAAGGUAAC
rnacentral:rRNA from 1 species